rnacentral:misc_RNA from 1 species
GAAAUGCGAUAAGUAAUGUGAAUUGCAGAAUUCAGUGAAUCAUCGAAUCUUUGAACGCAUAUUGCGCCCUUUGGCAUUCCUUAGGGCAUGCCUGCUCGAGCGUCACAGAAAACCCCAUCACAGUUCCUGUGGUCUUGGUAUGAGUGGGUUGAUAGCAUGUGGAGACAUGCUUAUAACACUCUACUGAAAUUUAUAGACAGGAUACCAGAUAUGGGCAAUAGACUUUGUAAAUGUCCACAGGAUAUAUAUCAGUCAUGUGUCAUGUUUGGUCCUGAUAUUAUGGACUCCUAUUCAAUACAAACAUUGGGUUGACCUCGAAUCAGGUAGGGAUACCCGCUGAACUUAA